UACGUAGGGACCAAGCGUUGUUCGGAUUUACUGGGCGUAAAGGGCGCGUAGGCGGUUUGUCAAGUCAGUUGUGAAAUCUCCGAGCUUAACUCGGAACGGUCAACUGAUACUGUCAAACUAGAGUACAGAAGGGGCAAUCGGAAUUCUUGGUGUAGCGGUGAAAUGCGUAGAUAAUCAAGAGGAACACCUGAGGUGAAGACGGGUUGCUGGGCUGAUACUGACGCUGAGGCGCGAAAGCUAGGGUAGCAAACGGG
rnacentral:rRNA from 1 species